UACAGAGGGGGCAAGCGUUGUUCGGAAUUACUGGGCGUAAAGCGCGCGCAGGCGGCUUCCUAAGUCCGUUGGUGAAAGACCGGGGCUCAACCCCGUGUCAGCCAUGGAUACUGGGAGGCUGGAGACAGGUAGAGGCAAGCGGAAUUCCGGGUGUAGCGGUGGAAUGCGUAGAGAUCCGGAAGAACACCGGAGGCGAAGGCGGCUGCUGGACCUGGCUGACGCUGAGGCGCGAAGCGUGGGGAGCGAACAGGAUUGAGAUACC
rnacentral:rRNA from 1 species